CCUACGGGAGGCAGCAGUAGAGAAUCAUGCACAAUAGGGGAAACCCUGAUGGGGCGACGCCGCGUGGGGGAAUGAAGGUCUUCGGAUUUUAAACCCCUGUCAUGUGGGAGCAAAUUAAAAAGAUAGUACCACAAGAGAAAGAGACGGCUAACUCGGUGCCAGCAUCCGCCGUAAUACAGAGGUCUCAAGCGUUGUUAGGAAUCACUGGGCGUAAAGCGUGCGUAGGGUGUUUCGUAAGUCGUGUGUGAAAGGCGCGGGCUCAACCCGCGGACGGCACAGGAUACGUCGAGACUAGAGUAAUGGAGGGGGAACUGGAAUUCUCGGUGUAGCAGUGAAAUGCGUAGAUAUCGAGAGGAACACUCGUGGCGAAGGCGGGUUCCUGGACAUUAACUGACGCUGAGGCACGAAGGCCAGGGGAGCGAAAGGGAUUAGAUACCCCGGUAGUC
rnacentral:rRNA from 1 species